rnacentral:rRNA from 1 species
UAUGUAGGGUGCAAGCGUUAAUCGGAAUUACUGGGCGUAAAGCGUGCGUAGUCGGUUAUUCAAGUCGGGCGUGAAAGCCCCGGGCUCAACCUGGGAAUUGCGUUCGAUACUGUCUAGCUAGAGUUCGGCAGAGGGAAGUGGAAUUUCAGGUGUAGCGGUGAAAUGCGUAGAUAUCUGAAGGAACAUCAGUGGCGAAAGCGACUUCCUGGACCAGAACUGACGAUCAGGCACGAAAGCGUGGGGAGCAAACAGG